rnacentral:lncRNA from 1 species
UAAACAUGUACGUGCAACGCACGUCUCAAUCGACAUCAAAUAAUUGUUAAUAAAUAGUUGUCUAAUAUUUACAUAGUUUUUCAUCCGUACAUAUCUUUAUUACUGAUUUAUAAUGUUUUUCGGAUGGAAGCAAAACUAAAUUACGGAUAAAUAGAGAAUGUGCAAAUUAGUUCAAGAUCAAUAAAUUUAUGUAACUUAUGUUGCUAGUACGGACACCCUAGUAGUCACUUAUUUGCUACUAUUUUCUUAGCCAUAUCAUCCUGAUUCUACCCUUUGUCCCAUCAUAGAAAUUGACACAUCACCCAUGGCUGCAACAGUCUCAACGUGAUGAAGAGCCAAAUCAGUUUCCUCCUCCGUCUUACACAUGACCUUGCUUCCUGUCAUGUCACAAAAGAAGAAAACAGUCCCUUUCUCUGUAAGAUUGAACAGAGUCAAGCCAUAAAAGAAAAUGGACAAGCUGAUUUUUUCAUCAUGAAAUUUUGUGUUUUGAAAUAGUUACUAAAUAUGUAAUGUUUAGUCCAGCAGCCAAAUGGUUAUACCCCAGAGUUGUUUACAUCAUUGCUUCACUCAUGGUUCAGUGCCAUGAUGGCAUAAAAGAUAUCUUAGAAAAAGCCGGAUACAUAGUAAUGCCUAAUUAACAGAUGGUCAAAGCAAUUAUCAAAAAACAUGAAGAGCAGGUUAACCAUUGUUACAUCCCAAAUCUAUGAGAACAUCUGUAAAUAAUUAUCUGUAAUGGGGUGUUUAGAGUACACCUGCUUUGGUUGUACUGGGGUGUGGUCGAGAGUGGAUGUUCGCAUCCAUUUCGAGGCUUCUUGUACAUUGUAUUUUCUCUCUUCUAUAAAAGUAUGCCUUUGGCGUACUCUCAAAAAAAAAAGAAUAUCUGUAAAUUGUAGAAGAAAAUGGCGCAGCUAUGAAAAGAAAACAAAGCUUUAACCUUGGUGUAGUAAAAACUAAAAGGUAACUUAUCCCUACAGUCUAAUAACAGAACAACACAUGAGUAAACAACUUGCUGUUUUCUGUAAAGGGUGAAUUUCAUUGGCAGCAUGUCUGAACUAUCAUAAUAAAAUUAGUCAGGCCUCCUAAAUUUUGUUACUCAAGAAACUAUCUGCAGGUCCCUGAAAUUUUGCUAUGCAUUUUUGGAAGAGAAGAGCACCAUUUCAAAUUCACAAUACUGCGUGAUAGUUUGUUUCUCGAGCCUAAACAAAAGCAAAACUUCCUCUAGACACUUGCUUAAUGUAAGAGCGGAACAAACUUUCAUAAUUUCAAACUGAAGAUUUCAAAGUCAUACACAUGGCAGAUAAUUCAUACUUUAGGAGGAAAUUAGUUUGCCUCCAAAUCCAACAGCAAUCAACAAAAAUACACAUGGAAAAUGGCAUUUAAUAGUACACUGUAAACAGAACACUGAAUGGAUAAUGAUACUAAAAUGUGUUUACAAAGGUCAACAGAAUACAGAUCUUACCAACGAACAAAGAUGAAGUGAUGAACUGACCGGUUUCAGUGAAGUGGCUAAUGUCAUGACCUCGGUUUUCUGCUGAAGCAACUCAUUUUCUCUUUCAGAUAGCUGAACUGCUAAAAUACCCACCUAUGGAAAGUACCAAAAUAUUGAAGUGUUUACAAACAAAGAGAUCAUUUAGGCAUGUAUAUAUAUGUAGGUCGACUGGUGGAGACUUCUUUGAAUAAAAACUCACCUGCUACUAUUUUUUACACAAUGAAACUGUACGUGCUUCUUAAAUAUGUGCAAGCUAGUUGUGUAUUUCAUCGAUUGUCAAGAGAGAAGGCAUCGAGGAAGGAACCAACCUGGACAUGAUGAUAGAUAGGCUAAGAAUUUAAAUUGUGAAUGAAGUGUACUAUGAUUUUCAUCAAGGUCCGGUAUUUCUUGUAUAUAUCAGCAAGAGCACAUCAAGUGCUUCUGAGUUUGAACAACAUGUUAAAUUAAACCAGCAUUCCUUUCAUCCAAGAAAUGGAAUGGAAAGUAAUGGGGAGAUUGAGAGUAAGCAUGACUCACCACGGUAUAUCAGAGAUGCAGGUCCUGAAUUAGUUGGACUUGAGGGCGAGGAAUUUUUUCCACCUGAGUGCGAGGAGAUGUACCCCCAAAUUCGUACCACUACCAUAGACCUGCACGUGCGUAACAUCAUGGCAGCAAAUUACAGUUUUCUAAAAUAUUGGCAAUGUAGCAUCAUGGCUGCAAAUUACAUUGCGUACAAGUGGGGUCAGAACAAAAGCUACAGUCAAAAAUGGGGCCCAAAAUGGAAAUACAAUCCAAAAUAGAAAAUCAAUGAAAAGUUGAAAACUGUAGUAAGAUGAGGAUUUGCACUUGGCAAUGUAGCUUACCUACAACUGAGGUUUGAACAAAAGCUACAGUUAUAAGCACAUGAGUUGGUUGUAGAACUGAUCUAAAUACUUCACCAUUGAUUAGUAUCUCGUUGAGAGUUCAC